rnacentral:lncRNA from 1 species
UUAUAGAAAAUAAAAAUAUUUUUAUUUCUUUGUUCGCUCCUUUUUCCCUCUCCAGUCGGUGGUCUCCGCUCUCCUCGGAGACGUGAGGCGGGCGAGGCGGGAGGCCUUAGAGGGGCCCGGAGUCCUGCUUUGCCCUCGUGGGCGGCCCCCGGCUGUGUCUGCUGCUGGCGCGCGUGCUGUGGCUGUCCAGGGAGUAGUAAGUCCUGCUGUCCGCCGCCGGGCAGAGCGGCGGCGAGUCCGAGCGCAGCGCGUCGUGCGCCGCUCGCAGGAUCGAGGAAAGGCGUGCUCUCGGCCGCCAGCGCCCCGUCCGGGUCGUCCGCAUCGUCGUCCGAGGCCGACGCCGAGCCGGAGCCGCGAACCGCUGCUCAACGACAGCGAGUCCCGCGCUGCGCGUGCGCGCUGCGCAGCCAACCCGUUGAGGCGGGAGCGCCGCCAGCGCCGCGGCCCCGCCGACGUCCUGCGGGACGCGCCGCGCGUGCGCGGCCGCGGCGGUGGCGGGGGCGCGCACUCCUGCGUGGUCUCGUACUCGUCGUCCUCCGGGAUGCGGAAGGGGCUGGCGGGCAGGCUGCCCAAACUGCCUCCCAGCGCGCAGGCGCCGCGCCGCGGCCCGGGCCCCGCCGCCGGGUAGUAGUAGCUGUCGUAGCUGCGCUGCAUGUCCGCUCCGGGCCCUGGCCCCGGGCCGGGCGGCGCUGGGUGCCGCAGGAGCGGCUGCUGCUCCGCUAGGCGGUAGCUGAUGGGCGCUGCGGGUGGCAGCGACACGGCGUGGGCAGAGUUGGGCGACGU